AUUGAACGCUGGCGGCAGGCCUAACACAUGCAAGUCGAACGAGUGGCGGACGGGUGAGUAAUGUCUGGGGAACUGCCUGAUGGAGGGGGAUAACUACUGGAAACGGUCGCUAAUACCGCAUACCAUCGGAUGUACCCAUAUGGGAUUGGCUAGUAGGUGGGGUAACGGCUCACCUAGUCGACGAUCACUAGCUGGUCUGAGAGGAUGACCAGCCCCACUGGAACGGCGACACGGUCCAUACUCCUACGGGAGGCAGCAGUGGGUAGUAUGGCACAAUGGGCGCAAGCCUGAUGCAGCCAUGCCGCGUGUAUGAAGAAGGCCUUAGGGUUGUAAAGUACUUUCAGCGGGGAGGCGUUACCCGCAGAAGAAGCACCGGCUAACUCCGUGCCAGCAGCCGCGGUAAUUC
rnacentral:rRNA from 1 species